UUAGGUUUUCUUCAUUUUCUUUUGAAAUUUUUCUAGGAUUUUUGUUGUUGAAGCUUGACGGAGAUGAUAUGAAGAUGAAAAAGAGGAGAAG
rfam:Medicago truncatula strain A17 chromosome 6, whole genome shotgun sequence.